rnacentral:misc_RNA from 1 species
GAAAUGCGAUAAGUAAUGUGAAUUGCAGAAUUCAGUGAAUCAUCGAAUCUUUGAACGCACAUUGCGCCCGGCAGCAAUCUGCCGGGCAUGCCUGUCCGAGCGUCAUUUCUGCCCUCGAGCGCGGUUCGGCCCCUAGCGGGCCGGCCGCCGCCCGGUGUUGCGGCGCUGCGGGCCCUCGUGCCCGCAGGCCCUGAAAUGAAGUGGCGGUCCCGCCGCGGCGCCCCCUGCGUAGUAGUAAAGCACCUCGCAUCGGGUCCCGGCGGAGGCCAGCCGUCGAACCUCUCUUUUGAUGGUUUGACCUCGGAUCAGGUAGGGUUACCCGCUGAACUUAAGC